ensembl:lncRNA
CAACUUCACACUGAUGAGCUUGCAGUAUCAGGCCAGCUUUUCCUUAUUGCCCUUUGAGAAAAUAGUGUCAGAUUGGAACAAACUCAGAGCAAAGUGGGAAUGAUCUGACAUGAAGAAAAACAUGGUAUAUGGGUUAUGUAGUUUGGGAAUUGGGAAGAUUGGGUGGAGAUACCAAUCAUGGACUUCAAUGAUUUUAAAGAAGUCUCUGAGGAGGAAUGGAAUAACAUUUUUUGUGUCUACAGGGGCUUAACCUGUAGGAAAGGAGAAUUAGGUUGUCCAUUAAGAAACAUUUCACGUCUAAGGUGACUGGUAAGUGCUGGGCUCAAUUGCUGACUGAAGAUGUGAAGACAAUUAGACAAGCAUCCAUCACAAGAGGUUAAUAUACAGCAGAUUAUUUUGAGAAAAGAUUAUGGAAUAGAUUUCAUGAAGUUGCUUUUUGUUGUUUUCCAUCUUUUUCAGAAUCUUUGCUGGUGAAACUAUAUUUUGCGAGGUAAAGUUCUAACAGCUUUGCAGGAGCCUCCAAGAGUUUUUGUCAGCUGUACAGAGGGGAUGAGGCUCCUCCUAAAGGUGAUAUCGCUGCUCUGCAUGGCUAUGUAGAAGAUGGGAAAUUUUUUUUUGAACUGAUUAAAAUCCUCUGAAAUUUGCUGGAAAUUGUUCUGUGGCCAGCAAAGAUCCCGAUGUUAAAAGCUCUGUUUGAACUAAAAACGAACCUUUCACUGCAGGGGAUUAUCUGGACCAGAAAAAACCUGUUCUUUAUUCUGAGAUUUAAUGGGUCCUAUUUUCAAGGUGUGAUGUCACUGAAUGUAAGCACUGGAGCACAGAUCUUACCUAUUCGAUUGCAAUUAAAUAGUGCAGGGAUGGAGUGCAUCUGAAAAAAACAUCUCCAGUGCUUUUCUCCUAAACUUUGGAAACUGAUUGUCACUUUGAAUUUGAUUGUGAGAGGUGGAUGGAGACACAAACACUGAGAAAUUUUAAAUCCAUUUUUGUCUUUUGUGAGCCUUUGUAUUAAUAAUUUGUAGAAAAGAAAUUUAUUCCAGACUCAAUUUUUAUCUAUCAUACCUAUACAUUUAUAUGCAUUUAUAAAUAGAAUACUAUUGUUCCAGCAUUAAAUUAAUAUUGAAAUAUAAGACUGUAUUAAGUAAAUGAAUAGUAUUUUUUCCCAGAUUGUAUUGUCACAUAUCCAUUAGCACUGAUUUUGAUAGUAAGUGCUUGGAGGAGGAAAACACUCCUGUUUGGAGCUGAUGAAUGUUCCACGUUGCAAAACGGGCAUUGCUGAAUGAAAGGAGGCUUUCCCCUCUGUGACCAGAUAGAAAAUUCUGCCUUCAUGAGAAAAUGUUGGUUAUUUUAUUUCUCCUGAAAAGAGGUACAACUCCACCAAUUCAUCCUGGUAAGUGUUGGCAGGAAGACUCAGACCUCAAUUUUGAAUCCUUUUGUUUCAGUGAAAUGGGAAACAAUAGUUUUAAUGACAAUAUUAUAAAAACCCUGAACAUCCACUAAAAAACCUAGCUUUUAGUAAAACUAAAAGUCAGUAGCUAACUGAAGAAGUAUAGUGCAGUAGGCAGCAUGAAGUAGCAGUGUGCAUAAAAGGGUGCAGAUGAUGAAAAAUUUAUAAAUGCUGUUUAUAAGGGUAUGUACUGAAGUAUUCAGUAUGAUGUAAUGGAUUUCAGUAAUGGCAUAGAAGUGACUGAAUUAAAGAGCUUCCUGAUCAUUGAUCAAUUCCCAAUUCCCACACCACCUGUAUGAAGUGGGUCUCUGUGGCUGCCUUGUUACCAGGCUGCACUGUGGUACCUUUGUGGACAUGCAUGGACCUCACAGCUGUACACACGGGAAACAGCACAUGAUUUGUUUUUUGUCAUUGAAAUAGUAACAUUCACUAUGCUGAUACAGAAUUAAUCUUCUUCAUAUUGUGAAACA